UGUUUCCCAACUGGAACUGGACCGACAACUACAGUGUCAAGAAUCUGGUCAUGUGCUGCACUUUCUGCUGAUCCUACAUAUGUCAAUUUCCACUCCAAAUCUACCACAAUGACAAUUUGUUGUUAAAAGAGACAAAUAACUGGCAAAAUAAUUAAGCGGCUUGCCUUCUGGAAUUUCAUCGAUGCAUUCGAAAACGAUCUCAAAUUGGAAUGGACUGAAAAAUGUGCAGGGGUUGUUCAAGACUUUGACAUCGCAAAUAUGAACUUUCGCCAUUUGUGAGCAACAGUUGAUACUUGAGUUAAAAAAACGAAAUGGCUCAAAAAAUUUCAGUAAGCUACAUGCACACAACGAAGAGAAAAGCCACUACGACUGCCCUGCCGCCAAAAAUUCCACAACGAUGCACGAUGGUAAAAAUUCAGGGUAGCCUUGUCAUGCGAAAUUUUUGUAUUAAAAAUUAGUAAUUUGCUAAAUUGUACAUGCCACGCUAUGUAAAUUUAACUGGUAUACAAUUUAACUUUUCCGUUUG